GUCCACGCCGUAAACGAUGAGUGCUAGUUGUUUGGGGCUAUCCAGCCCUAAGUGACGCAGCAAACGCAUUAAGCACUCCGCCUGGGGAGUACGACCGCAAGGUUGAAACUCAAAGGAAUUGACGGGGCCCGCACAAGCGGUGGAGCAUGUGGUUUAAUUCGAAGCAACGCGAAGAACCUUACCAGGUCUUGACAUACUCGUGCUAUUCCUAGAGAUAGGAAGUUCCUUCGGGACACGGGAUACAGGUGGUGCAUGGUUGUCGU
rnacentral:rRNA from 1 species